rnacentral:snRNA from 1 species
GCAUAUGAGGGUGAUCUGGCUGCAACAUCUGCCUCCCCUUUGAUUGCCAGGGUUGAUUUGGCUGAUCUGGCUGGCUAGGCAAGUAUGCCCUUUCUCUCUCACUGCUACAUGUGCAUCCCUCCUGAAGCUGCAUUCUCAAUCAUAGAGGAUGACCAUCGCCGAUAGAGGAAGACAGGUCAAGAGUAUGCGACUAGGUGUAACUGCGCUCCCCUGCUAGAAACUCCAAACAAGCUCUCAUGUGUUUAUUGGCCAUUUGCAUAUCUUCUUUGGAGGAAUGUCUGUUCAAGAAUUUGAUCAUUUUUUAUUCAGGUUGUUUGAUUUUUGCGUUGUAGGAAUUCUCUAUA